GGAAUAUUGGGCAAUGGGCGCAAGCCUGACCCAGCAACGCCGCGUGAAGGAAGAAGGCUUUCGGGUUGUAAACUUCUUUUAUCAGGGACGAAGGAUGUGACGGUACCUGAUGAAUAAGCCACGGCUAACUACGUGCCAGCAGCCGCGGUAAUACGUAGGUGGCAAGCGUUGUCCGGAUUUACUGGGUGUAAAGGGCGCGUAGGCGGGAUUGCAAGUCAGGUGUGAAAUCUAUGGGCUCAACCCAUAAAUUGCACUUGAAACUGUAGUUCUUGAGUAUCGGAGAGGCAGAUGGAAUUCCUAGUGUAGCGGUGAAAUGCGUAGAUAUUAGGAGGAACACCAGUGGCGAAGGCGAUCUGCUGGACGACAACUGACGCUGAGGCGCGAAAGCGUGGGGAGCAAACA
rnacentral:rRNA from 1 species